rnacentral:lncRNA from 1 species
AGACAGGGUUGGUGCAGUCUCAGCUCACUGCAGCCUCAAACUCCUGGGCAGCUCAGGUGAUCUUCCCGACUCAGCCUUCUAAGUAGCUGGGGCUACAGUGCACAGCCAGAGGACAACACAUCACACACAAGAAACAGUUGUGCUCAUGUGAUGGGGGCCUCAGCACUAGGAAGGAGUGGACUGUUGGCGCACGCAGCAGCUUGAAUAAAUCUGAAAGUCACUACGCUGCGUAAGAGAAGCCAAAUAAAGCGCAUGCUGUGUACAGAGGGUGUCGAGAAUGCCUCCUACGUGACGGAAAGCAGAUCCGUGGUUCCCUGCAGACUGGCAGGAGCAGAUUCCAAAGGCACAGGAAGAAGCUUGCAGUACAAAGAUAAAAAUCUAAAGUGGUUGCUGUGGAGGACAGGGGUCAGUGGUGGAAGUGAGACCGAAAUAGACUCUGAAGUAAUAUCUGGACUUUGAAAUUGUUUCCUUAAUGACAACAAAAAAGGGAGUAAUCCUACCCACUGUAAGAGUCAUGACUCUUGAUUGCAGCUGACAGAAACUCAUGACAGCCUGCUUUAGAUGAAGGGGGAGAGAAGGACUGGAAGAAUCUUGGAGUUGGGAAUGUCACACGUAAUUGAAGGAAGAACAAGAAAACUAUAGUAAAGAACCCUGGGGUGGUG